AAAAAGGCAAACCAUGAAUUUCCGUGUCCAAUUUUAACUGUUCGUCUUAUAUGAAUUUUUUUUAUAAUUCGUAUUUUUAUUGUUAUUAGAUGAUAAAACAUGAUUAAUAUUUUAUGCGUGACUUGUCUUUUUAAUUUUUUUCAUAAUUUUUUCAAAUAAGACGGACGGUCAAACGUUAGGCACGGAAAUCAAUGUUUGUCUUUUUU
rfam:Oryza rufipogon genomic scaffold, chr02